UGUUUGGAUUUUACCAUCACUGCAGACUUGUUGGAAGCUCAUGUGAGACACAGUGAUCGUGUAUGUAAAAGCCACUUUGAAAAGAUAGCACAUGUUGGCAUUGUUUGAAAGAUACAGAAAGCUACAUGUUGAACCCUCACAUGAAUCUGGGGCUGCAUUACUGGAAACAUACUUUCCAC